AACGAACGCUGGCGGCAUGCCUAACACAUGCAUGUCGAACGAUGCCUUCGGGCAUAGUGGCGCACGGGUGCGUAACGCGUGGGAAUCUGCCUUUCGGUUCGGAAUAACUCAGGGAAACUUGAGCUAAUACCGGAUAACGUCGCAAGACCAAAGAUUUAUCACCGAAAGAUGAGCCCGCGUAGGAUUAGCUAGUUGGUGAGGUAAAGGCUCACCAAGGCGACGAUCCUUAGCUGGUCUGAGAGGAUGAUCAGCCACACUGGGACGGAGACACGGCCCAGACUCCUACGGGAGGCAGCAGUGGGGAAUAGUGGACAAUGGGCGAAAGCCUGAUCCAGCAAUGCCGCGUGAGUGAUGAAGGCCUUAGGGUUGUAAAGCUCUUUUACCCGGGAAGAUAAUGACGGUACCGGGAGAAUAAGCCCCGGCUAACUCCGUG
rnacentral:rRNA from 1 species